rnacentral:tRNA from 1 species
CCCGGAGUAGCUCAGAUGGUAGAGCGCUGCUCUGAAAAAGCAGAGGUCGCCGGCUCGAACCCGGCCUCCGGGACCA